rnacentral:lncRNA from 1 species
CAUGCCUUGCAUUAGACCUUUCAUGCAUCAUAUGUGUCUUGCAUCGUGUGGUGAUUGUCGUGUGUUGAUGCCUGUUUCCGGUUUCCUCCAUCUCGAUAGAGUUCCGCAAGCGUGUCGGAUGUGAGGACCGUUCGACUACGUCGGUUCGUCUACUUCACGGAGGCAUACUUCUUCCAAGCGGGAUCUCAGGCAAGAUGAUCAUUUCCCCAGAUACCAUUACUAUCAUUGCCAUGCUAGUUUAUCGCUUCUAUCGUUUAUGUCUCGUUGCCUACCACCUGUUAAAUUCAGCCUCUCAACAAUGUCAUGAAAACAUUCAACCUGUUCAACCUAGCAAACCACUGAUUGGCUAUGUUACUGCUUGCUUUACCCUGUGUAGCGUUGCUAGUUGCAGGUGCAGUUGCUUCCAUGUGAUUACAUGGGUUACUUGUAUAGCACCAUAUUAAAUGUUAUAUAAUUUAAUGCACCUAUAUACUUGGUAAAAGGUGGAAGGCUCGGCCUUUCUAGCCUGGUGUUUUGUUCCACCUUUGCCCCCUUUAGUUACCGGCUACCGGUGUUAUGUUCCAUAAAUGAGCGCUCCUAACACGAUCGGGGUUGUUAUGGGGAACCCCUUGAUAAUUCGUUUUAGAUUAAAGCUGGUCUGGCAAGGCCCAACUUUGGUACUACAUUUGCCUAAUAACCUAAUAAUAAUGCAUAGGGACCCGCCGGCACCCGCGGACUAUUUUAAUCAACCCCCGGGCCAGUGCUCCUCAUGAGUGUUGGUCCAAAACAGAGCAGCUUAUUAACGCUACCCGGGGCAACUCGGCGUUUGGCGUGGUAACCAUAGCUCAUCCGUCGUGUCCUGAGAACGAGGUACGCGACUCCUAUCGGGAUCGUCGACACGUCGGGCGGCCUUGCUGGAUUAGUUUUACCUUUGACGAGAUAUCUUGUGCAUCGGGAUUCCGGUGAUGCUUUGGGUAAUCUCAGAGUUGAGGUUUUCUACUAGGGAAUCCGACGAGAUCGCGAGCUUCGUGAUUGAGGAUUUCUAUGCGGCUUGUGGUAAUUUGUGAUGGACUAGUUGGAGCACCCCUGCAGGGUUAAAUCUUUCGGAAAGCCGUGCCCGCGGUUAUGUGGCAACGUGGAAACUUUGUUUAACACUGGUUCUAGAUAACUUGAAGUUAAUUAAUUAAAAUAUGCCAACCGUGUGCGUAACCAUGACUGUCUCUUUCGUGAGUUCCUUCUCCGAUCGAGGACACGGUGGGGUUAUGUCUGACGUAGGUAGGUGUUCAGGAUCAUUCUCUUGAUCAACCGUAGUUCACGUCCGUUAUGCGUAGUUCAUUCCCCCCUUUAUUCUUGUACUCGUAAGUUUAGCCACCAAAUAUAUGCUUAGCCGCUGCCGCAACCUCACCACUUAACCAUACCUCACCCAUUAAGCUUUGCUAGUCUUGAUACCUUUGGAAAUGAGAUUGCUGAGUCCCCUGUGGCUCACAGAUUACUACAACACCAGUUGCAGGUACAGGUAAAGGGUACUUGACGCGAGCGCGUUGAUUGUUCAUUUGGAGUUGCUUCUUCUUCUUCUUCUUCAUCGGUCUAGGGUGGGUUCCAGGCCGGCAGCCUGGGAUAGCAAGGAUGGACGUCGUUCUUCUUUUGUCGUUUGUUUUCGUCCGUAGUCGGACCCUGCUCUUACUCAUGAUGAAUAUGUAAUGUACUGAGGUGACUCUGAUGUAGCUUGUGGCGAGUGUAAGCCAAUUCUAUAUAUCUCUUCUUUUCAGUACAUGUACUUGUAACGAUAUCCAUUCUUGCGACACGACGAGAUGCGCUUCUAU